rnacentral:rRNA from 1 species
AAUGAACGUUGGCGGCGUGGAUUAGGCAUGCAAGUCGAGCGAGAACCAGUCUUCGGACUGGGGACAGCGGCGAACGGGGUAGGAAUACCUCGGUGACGUACCCCCCGGUCGGGGAUAGCGGCGGGAAACUGCCGGUAAUACCCGAUGAUCUGCCCAGGUUUUACGACAGGGGCAGCAAAGGUGUGAUUCCGUCGGGGGAGCGGCUGAGGUCGUAUUAGCUGGUUGGUGAGGUAACGGCUCACCAAGGCGAUGAUGCGUAGGGGGUGUGAGAGCAUGGCCCCCACCACUGGCACUGAGACACUGGCCAGACACCUACGGGUGGCUG